ACUUUGUAACUUCACCUUAGCCUCUGAUUGGAAUCAGACUGAUUGCGGGCUACCACUUCAUUUACAUGAGGUGAGCAUGAAGUGGCCAAUGGGAAACUUCUAGGG